GCGUCGGUGGUUCAGUGGUAGAGUACUCGCCUCCCACGCGGGUGGCCCGGGUUCGAUUCCCGGCCGACGCA
rnacentral:tRNA from 1 species